UACAGAGGUCUCAAGCGUUGUUCGGAUUCAUUGGGCGUAAAGGGUGUGUAGGUGGCGCGCUAAGUCGGGUGUGACAUUUCGGAGCUUAACUCCGAAACUGCAUUCGAUACUGGCGUGCUUGAGGACUGGAGAGGAGACUGGAAUUCAUGGUGUAGCAGUGAAAUGCGUAGAGAUCAUGAGGAAGACCAGUGGCGAAGGCGGGUCUCUGGACAGUUCCUGACACUGAGACACGAAGGCCAGGGGAGCAAACGGG
rnacentral:rRNA from 1 species